rnacentral:rRNA from 1 species
GAUGAACGCUGGCGGCGUGCUUAACACAUGCAAGUCGAACGGGAAUUACUUUAUUGAAGCUUCGGUCGAUUUAAUUUAAUUCUAGUGGCGGACGGGUGAGUAACGCGUGGGUAACCUGCCUUAUACAGGGGGAUAACAGUCAGAAAUGGCUGCUAAUACCGCAUAAGCGCACAGAGCUGCAUGGCUCAGUGUGAAAAACUCCGGUGGUAUAAGAUGGACCCGCGUUGGAUUAGCUGGUUGGUGGGGUAACGGCCCACCAAGGCGACGAUCCAUAGCCGGCCUGAGAGGGUGAACGGCCACAUUGGGACUGAGACACGGCCCAGACUCCUACGGGAGGCAGCAGUGGGGAAUAUUGCACAAUGGGGGAAACCCUGAUGCAGCGACGCCGCGUGAAGGAAGAAGUAUCUCGGUAUGUAAACUUCUAUCAGCAGGGAAGAUAGUGACGGUACCUGACUAAGAAGCC